ACAGGCCGAGUAUUGCAGAGGUACAUCGUAGUUGCUGCGCUUAAGCGCAGCAACUACGAUGUACCUCUGCAAUACUCGGCCUGU
rnacentral:miRNA from 1 species